rnacentral:rRNA from 1 species
GACGAACGCUGGCGGCAUGCCUAAUACAUGCAAGUCGAGCGAACAGAUGAAGUGCUUGCACUUCUGACGUUAGCGGCGAACGGGUGAGUAACACGUAAGGAAUCUACCUAUAAGCGGGGGAUAACAUUCGGAAACGGGUGCUAAUACCGCAUAAUAUCUUCUUCCGCAUGGAAGAAGAUUGAAAGACGGCUCUGCUGUCACUUAUAGAUGACCUUGCGGUGCAUUAGUUAGUUGGUGGGGUAAUGGCCUACCAAGACGAUGAGGCAUAGCCGGCCUGAGAGGGUGAUCGGCCACAUUGGGACUGAGACACGGCCCAAACUCCUACGGGAGGCAGCAGUAGGGAAUCUUCCGCAAUGGGCGAAAGCCUGACGGAGCAAUGCCGCGUGAGUGAAGAAGGCCUUCGGGUCGUAAAACUCUGUUAUAAGAGAAGAACAAAUUGUAGAGUAACUGCGACAGUCUUGACGGUAUCUUAUCAGAAAGCCACGGCUAACUACGUGCCAGCCGCCGCCGUAA